AGAGCGAACGCUGGCGGCAGGCCUAACACAUGCAAGUCGAGCGCCCCGCAAGGGGAGCGGCAGACGGGAGAGUAACACGUGGGAACGUACCCUUCAGUUCGGAACAACCCAGGGAAACUUGGGCUAAUACCGAAUACGUCCGUAAGGAGAAAGAUUUAUCGCUGAAGGAUCGGCCCGCGUCUGAUUAGCUAGUUGGUGAGGUAACGGCUCACCAAGGCUACGAUCAGUAGCUGGUCUGAGAGGAUGAUCAGCCACAUUGGGACUGAGACACGGCCCAAACUCCUACGGGAGGCAGCAGUGGGGAAUAUUGGACAAUGGGCGCAAGCCUGAUCCAGCCAUGCCGCGUGAGUGAUGAAGGCCUUAGGGUUGUAAAGCUCUUUCACCCACGACGAUAAUGACGGUAGUGGGAGAAGAAGCCCCGGCUAACUUCGUGCCAGCAGCCGC
rnacentral:rRNA from 1 species